UACGUAGGUGGCAAGCGUUGUCCGGAUUUACUGGGCGUAAAGGAUGCGUAGGCGGAUGUUUAAGUGAGAUGUGAAAUACCCCGAGCUCAACUUGGGUGCUGCAUUUCAAACUGGAUAUCUAGAGUGCAGGAGAGGAAAGCGGAAUUCCUAGUGUAGCGGUGAAAUGCGUAGAGAUUAGGAAGAACACCAGUGGCGAAGGCGCUUUCUGGACUGUAACUGACGAC
rnacentral:rRNA from 1 species